rnacentral:rRNA from 1 species
UACAGAGGUUGCGAGCGUUGUUCGGAAUUAUUGGGCGUAAAGCGCGUGUAGGCGGGAUGGCAUGUCGAAUGUGAAAGCCCUCGGCUCAACCGAGGAAGUGCGUUCGAAACUACCGUUCUUGAGUAUCGGAGAGGGUGGCGGAAUUCCCGGUGUAGAGGUGAAAUUCGUAGAUAUCGGGAGGAACACCAGUGGCGAAGGCGGCCACCUGGACGAAUACUGACGCUGAGACGCGAAAGCGUGGGGAUCAAACAGG